rnacentral:lncRNA from 1 species
AGCACAAAUAUGAGCGUAACUUUAACGCCUCUGCAUGCUCUGGUGCGGCGACUUCGUAUAUAUAUGCGGGCUGGUACGUCUGUGUCUAUAACAAUUUCUUCGUGGAACCAGUUUCGUGAGCUGUUGACUUCUCGUGCUCAGGAUGAAGUGUGCGGUGGCUAUGAUUGUAAUCACUCUUCUUCUUGGCUUGGCGCUCGGCCAUGGCCAUCACGGCAAGAAAGCAAGUCACGUGGUGCUGGUUCGCCGCCCCGUUUACCAGCAGCCGCAUUGCUUUGAUCAUUACGGUCAUGGUGGACACCACGGUGGCUUGGUCAAGAAACUCGGCCAUCAUGGAGGCCACGGCCACCAUGGCGGACACCAGUACGUGCCAUACGCGUACUAAGCAGGCACGCAGGGACGCCUUCCCUGCGCCUCCACCUGACAUGUGCAUCGCAUAGUCAAGCGCGCUUGACGAAUAAAAUUCAACUUGCA